ACAGUUCUUAGCCAAGUGGUUAUCACCACAGAGUCGAAAUCUGUUAGUGUGGGUUCGAAACCCGCUGAAUGUG